UCCCUGUUACCAGGGCAGUCUGAUUAGAGAAAUUCAACUAAUCACAAGGGUUGCGCUCGUUGAUGGACUUAACCAAACAUCUCACGACACGAGCUGACGACGGCCAUGCAACACCUGUCACUUGGCUCAAUAAAGCACUCUCGCCUUUCGGCAAAAUUCCAAGGAUGUCAAACCUGGGUAAGGUUCUUCGUUUACCAUCGAAUUAAAGAACACACUCCACCGCUUGUGCGGGUCCCCGUCAAUUCCUUUAUGUUUUAGUCUUGCGACCGUACUCCACAGGCGGGAUGCUUAACGCGUUAGCUUCGCUACUACCAGGGUCGAUACUGGUAACAGCUAGCAUCCAUAGUUUACGGCGUGGACUAA
rnacentral:misc_RNA from 1 species